rnacentral:rRNA from 1 species
UGCGCCUUGCCAGCCCGCUCAGAAACUUAAAUGAAGUUGACGGGGGCCCGCACAAGCGGCGGAGCAUGCGGAUUAAUUCGAUGCAACGCGAAGAACCUUACCAAGGCUUGACAUAUACCGGAAACUUCCAGAGAUGGUUGCCCCUUUUAGGUCGGUAUACAGGUGGUGCAUGGUUGUCGUCAGCUCGUGUCGUGAGAUGUUGGGUUAAGUCCCGCAACGAGCGCAACCCUCGUUCUAUGUUGCCAGCACGUAAUGGUGGGGACUCAUGGAAGACUGCCGGGGUCAACUCGGAGGAAGGUGGGGAUGACGUCAAAUCAUCAUGCCCCUUAUGUCUUGGGCUUCACGCAUGCUACAAUGGCCGGUACAAAGGGCUGCGAUACCGCAAGGUGGAGCGAAUCCCAAAAAACCGGUCUCAGUUCGGAUUGGGGUCUGCAACUCGACUGCAUGAAGUUGGAAUCGCUAGUAAUCGUGGAUCAGCCAAGCCGCGGUGAAUACGUUCCCGGGCCUU